rnacentral:rRNA from 1 species
CCUACGGGAGGCAGCAGUAGGGAAUAUUGCUCAAUGGGCGAAACCCUGAAGCAGCAACGCCGCGUGGAGGAUGAAGGUUUUCGGAUUGUAAACUCCUUUUGUUAGAGAAGAUAAUGACGGUAUCUAACGAAUAAGCACCGGCCAACUCCGUGCCAGCAGCCGCGGUAAUACGGCGGGUGCAAGCGUUACUCGGAAUCACUGGGCGUAAAGAGCGCGUAGGCGGGAUAGCAAGUCAGAUGUGAGAUCCUAUGGCUUAACCAUAGAGCUGCAGUUGAAACUGUUAUUCUUGAGUAUGGGAGAGGUAGGUGGAAUGCUUGGUGUAGGGGUAAAAUCCGUAGAGAUCAAGAGGAAUACUCAUUGCGAAGGCGACCUGCUAGAACAUAACUGACGCUGAUGCGCGAAAGCGUGGGGAGCAAACAGGAUUAGAUACCCGAGUAGUC